GAACGCCGAGGAAGGUCCUCUCCUCUCGGGGGAACCGUUCGAACUUCGAGCCUGCACGGACUGAGCAUAAAAAAACAAACUCGAGAUGUCGAGUGCAGUGAGCAUAAGAAUAAUUAAUGGACGCUAAACUCAAUCCAGAUUCAGGGGAUCAUCCUGGCACUCUGAAUGAUAUGAAUUACGAUUCCCAUUCAAGCAGAAGACCAAGGGAAAGUAGUGAGCAAGACCCAAAUCCCAGGCAUCCGGGAAGAGGCAGCAGUCGACAGGAGCAGAAUACUCACCAGCUAAGAGGUUCUACAUACUAAGAAAUAUGAAGAUCUUCCUACAAAGUUCAAAACAAAUAGAUAUAAUACAAAAUCUCCAACAACAAAAGAAGAAUCAAGAAACAUAGAUCCAUGGGAUAUAGACUUCAGAAUCUAAAACCCUAUAAAAGAAGGUCUUUUUCCAGAAAAUUGCCAGCAGAUGAAAAUCAUUUUCUGUUCAGCACCUGAGGACUACAAACCAUCACAGAGUAAACAGUUCACAUGAGCUCUUGUUUAAUAAGGGAUGAACUCAGUUCUUGAACUAGAUCCAAGUGAUGUGCCUGGUCCAAGCAUGUAAGGAAUUACAAACAGCAGACGAGCAUCAGACGUAGAGACAGCAACAGUGAAGAUUACCCAUACUCCAGACAAGCAGGAAAUGAAGAAACUGACAGACAGCCCAUGGAAUCCCAAAUCUUCACAUCAGACACAAGGUACCCUGCGAGAGAAUGUAGUACAUUUACAUUUAUCAGUCACUCACUUCAGGCUUCCAUAAACAACUAAAAAUAACUGAAGCACUGAAUAAAUCAAGCUAAUAGAAAUACAUAAUGCAAAAUUCCCUGAGCAUCUAUGGGGAUGGAAAGGCAUUAAGGUAUGUAGUGACUGAUUUAAAGAGGGUAGGGCCUUUGAGUUAAAUCAAAGAAAAUCUUGUUGACUGGGAAGUGCAGUGCAAAAAACCUUGCUUCAUUGAAAUCAAGUGGAAAUGAUCAGGGAACCAGGUUCCCACAUUUAAAGAGACAAGUACAACUGACAAUAAAAUCUGUAAAGAAAUAGAAGUCAAGUCACUGAGAAUAAUAUUAAAAAAUCCUCUACCCAACAAAAUAACAACAGGUCACACUUCAUAUCUAGUUUUCCAGAAUAUAUUUCCCUUCUCAUAAUGCUUCAAAUACCUUGCAUAGUCAUGGUAUCAUGUCCUGUAAAAGUAGGAGAUAAAGCAACUACAGCCAAAUGGUUUAUAAAGACUUAAAAUCCUC